CCGCCCGUCACAUCACGAAAGUGGGCUGUACUAGAAGACGUUGAGCUAACCCAGCAAUGGGGGGCAGGCGUCCACGGUAUGGUUCAUGAUUGGGGUG
rnacentral:rRNA from 1 species